AUUGAACGCUGGCGGCAGGCCUAACACAUGCAAGUCGAACGAGUGGCGGACGGGUGAGUAAUGUCUGGGACACUGCCUGAUGGAGGGGGAUAACUACUGGAACCGGUAGCUAAUACCGCAUACCAUCAGCUCUGCCCAGAUGGGAUUUGCUAGUUGGUGGGGUAACGGCUCACCAAGGCGACGAUCCCUAGCUGGUCUGAGAGGAUGACCAGCGACACUGGAACUGAGACACGGUCCAGACGCCUACGGGAGGCAGCAGUGGGGAAUAUUGCACAAUGGGCGCAAGCCUGAUGCAGCCAUGCCGCGUGUAUGAAGAAGGCCUUCGGGUUGUAAAGUACUUUCAGCGGGGAGGCGUUACCCGCAGAAGAAGCACCGGCUAACUCCGUGCCAGCAGCCGCGGUAAUUC
rnacentral:rRNA from 1 species